rnacentral:rRNA from 1 species
GACGAACGCUGGCGGCGUGCUUAACACAUGCAAGUCGAACGAAGUGGCGAACGGGUGAGUAACGCGUAAUCAACCUGCCCUUCAGAGGGGGACAACAGUUGGAAACGACUGCUAAUACCGCAUACUGAAGGAGGGGUUUGCGUCGGAUUAGCUGGUUGGGGGGGUAGCGGCCCACCAAGGCGAUGAUCGGUAGCCGGGCUGGGAGGAUGGACGGCCAGAUUGGGACCGUGACACGGGCCAGACUCCUACGGGAGGCAGCAGUGGGGGAUCUUCCGCAAUGGGCGAAAGUCUGACGGAGCAACGCCGCGUGAGUGAUGACGGCCUUCGGGGUGUAAAGCUCUGUUAAUCGGGACGCGGUACCGGAAGAGAAAGCCACGGCUAACUACGUGCCAGCAGCCGCGGUAAUAC